rnacentral:rRNA from 1 species
UAGUCAUAUGCUUGUCUCAAAGAUUAAGCCAUGCAUGUCUCAGUGCAGGCCUUUAUACGGUGAAACCGCGAAUGGCUCAUUAAAUCAGCUAUGGUUUAUUGGAUCGUACCCGUUAAAUGGAUAACUGUAAUAACUCUAGAGCUAAUACAUGCCACGAAGCCCUGACCCCGCUCGUCGGGGAAUGGGUGCACUUAUUAGAACAGAAGCCAACCAGCCUAUGCGUUCCUUCGGGGGCGUAUGGGUUGUAGCACUUCCUGGUGACUCUGGAUAAUUGUUACAGAUCGCAGUCGGCCUUGAGUCGGCGACGGGUCCUUCAAAUGUCUGCCCUAUCAACUUUCGAUGGUAGGUGACUUGCCUACCAUGGUGAUUACGGGUAACGGGGAAUCAGGGUUCGAUUCCGGAGAGGGAGCCUGAGAAACGGCUACCACUUCCAAGGGAGGCAGCAGGCGCGCAAAUUACCCACUCCCAGUACGGGGAGGUGGUGACGAAAAAUACCGAUGCGGGACUCACUAUCGAGGCUCCGUAAUCGGAAUGAGUGGACUCUAAAUCCUUUCACAAGGAUCAAUUGGAGGGCAAGUCUGGUGCCAGCAGCCGCGGUAACUCCAGCUCCAAUAGCGUAUAUUAAAGUUGCUGCAGUUAAAAAGCUCGUAGUUGGAUCUCGGUAGCAUUGUUGCCUGUGUAGUAAUCAGCCACUAUGGCGUGCAUUAUAUCGUGUGUAUUUGUAUUACCCAUGUCGGCAAAAUUUGUGUGGCAUGGGUGUAUGGGUAUUGCGGUUGAUGCACAUUAAAACUGUGGUGUGUUGAGCUCGCAAGGCGAUGGUGUCACCUUUGAGCCAUGUCUGUGGUGUAACAGCUGCAGGUGUAGAUAAGUGUCGGAUUGUGCCUUACACUAGCUGUGGGACAUGAUCGGCUUGUCUGCAUGCCAAUGGAUGCCCUUAAAAAGGUGUCUAUGGGCGGAUGGCACGUUUACUUUGAACAAAUUUGAGUGCUCAAAUCAGGCCGAUGUUGCCUGAAAAGUUUUGCAUGGAAUAAUGGAAUAGGACUUCGGUUCUAUUUCGUUGGUUUUCGGAUCCGAAGUAAUGAUCAAAAGAGACAGGCGGGGACGUUUGUAUGGCUGCGCUAGAGGUGAAAUUCAUGGACCGUAGCCAGACAAACUAAAGCGAAAGCAUUCGUCAAGCAUGUUUUCAUUGGCCAUGAGCGAAAGUCAGAGGCUCGAAGACGAUCAGAUACCGUCCUAGUUCUGACCAUAAACGAUGCCAACUGACGAUCCGUGGUGGUAGUUUCUUAACCUUCCCCACGGGCAGUCCCCGGGAAACCUUUAAGUCUUUGGGUUCCGGGGGAAGUAUGGUUGCAAAGCUGAAACUUAAAGGAAUUGACGGAAGGGCACCACCAGGAGUGGAGCCUGCGGCUUAAUUUGACUCAACACGGGAAAACUCACCCGGGCCGGACACUAUGAGGAUUGACAGAUUGAUAGCUCUUUCUUGAUUUGGUGGUUGGUGGUGCAUGGCCGUUCUUAGUUGGUGGAGCGAUUUGUCUGGUUAAUUCCGAUAACGAACGAGACUCCAGCCUGCUAAUUAGUGCGUUUGUCCACUGUACCAGCCAAGCGGCGCAGUGUCAACUGCUUCGGUUCAGUGCAGGACUUUGGGGCGUCUGAGUAUUUCUUGGGUGGUUGUAUUGUUCUGCAGUGCAGCCAUUCAGUGUGUUCAGCGUUUCUGCCUGCAUGUUGUACUUGGUGGAUGGCACGACGUUAGCUAGCAGGUGCGGCGCGAAUGCUUACUUCUUAGAGGGACACGCGGGAGAAGCCGCACGAAAUAGAGCAAUAACAGGUCUGUGAUGCCCUUAGAUGUCCGGGGCCGCACGCGCGCUACAAUGGCGGUGUCAACGAGUCAGACCUUCUGGCCUGAAAAGGUUGGAUAAACUGGUCAAUCACCGUCAUGACAGGGAUCGGGGCUUGGAAUUGUUCCCCGUGAACGAGGAAUUCCUAGUAAGUGCAAGUCAUAAGCUUGCGCUGAUUACGUCCCUGCCCUUUGUACACACCGCCCGUCGCUACUACCGAUUGAAUGGUUUAGUAAGGUCCUUGGAUUGGCUUCAUUUAGGUGCCGCCGAAAGGUGAGUGCCUAGCCGGAGUCGAGAAGACGACCAAACUUGAUCAUUUAGAGGAAGUAAAAGUCGUAACAAGGUUUCCGU